rnacentral:misc_RNA from 1 species
CUGAAAGACAAAGAGGGCUUUGAGACUACGUCUCUGACGUGUGCUUGGCUCUUACUCUUCGUCCACAUACACCUUUGUGCACUUAUGGGAGACUUCUCCCAUUUUCGUAACAAACACGUGGGAUAGACAUGCAUGUAUAUAGUAAUGCUCUACGGAGUAAUGUA